GCCCUCGUAGCUCAGGGGAUAGAGCGCGGCGCUGCGGACGCCGAGGUCGCAGGUUCGAAUCCUGUCGAGGGUA
rnacentral:tRNA from 1 species